GGCAAGGGCCCUGAGAGAGCUGUUUCUGGAAUGCAGCCAGUCUGCAGUGACCAGCAUGGGCAGAGAGGUAACAGAAGGCCAGCGGAAGAUCAUAAGGGAAUGACUUGGCCAGCUUUGUUUAUUUCAGGAACCUGACACUCUGGAGGAGAGGGUAUUAGGAGGUCUGUCUCUACCACAACAAUGAAAGCAGGGCCAGGAUUAUGUCUGUCUUGGCCUCUGUCCUACCUCCAAGGUCUAGCUCAGUGCCAAGCUAAACAAAUAUUCACCA